AGUUCACUCAGUAUGGAUUGCUUCCGAAUGCCAAUUAGUUUGAACAAUUGCAGACUGAAAUCAGAGCUCGACUCAAGAUUCAGGCAGGAGCGUUCCUAAGUACAUUUCAUCGAGUAUGUCUUUGUCACAUGCCAAGGGAAACGACUAACCUCCUUCAAGAAUAUCCUCGAAACAGCUCAUAUACAUGAAGAUCUACAGCAGGCGUCGCAUCUCUCUUCGAACAAACCACGUUGCACACCCUCUCGGACUCUAAAUUAAACCCUAACUUGACAAGCUUCCAACACGAACUGAAACCCUCGACUCGGGUCAUUCCCCAGAGGAGGAAAUGGAGACGCAAAUUGCAUCUAUACGCUAUUACACCAUCGAUAAAUACCUCCACGAAUCCGAACAAACAUUCGGUUUCCACUACAGCCCAACGCAUUCGAGCUCCCUUACUUCACUGACAGAUCUUCCAUUCAACCUAAUACACUUGCGAAAACCCCACGAGACAGAAAGUUUUCAAUGACUAUAAUGAAUUCCUGGAAGUGGGUAUAUUACUGCGACGAAACACACCACACCGCAUCGUACCUUGUGAGGCGAGCCGCGAUGAAGAGGGGGACCUCGACCAGCAGCGGCACCCAAGCAGCAAGACGCAGCGAGGAGGUGCUGCGAGGAGAGAAACGGGACAAGGGAGGAGUGAAGAAGCGACGAGGAGGCGUGGGAGGGAGAGGAGCGGGAGAUGGAAUGGAUAUAGGCUCCUCCUCCCGACGCGGCGUUCCAGCUCACGGCGAGGCCGCGCCGUCCGAUGCCCUGUUGGACAAUAGCCCUGGCACUUGGAGCAGGAGCCAUUCCUGGCGAAAAGAAUGGAGCUCAUUCAUGACAGAGACACACACUCAUGCACAGAGAGACACACACUCGCACACACGGUCACAGUGAAUGGUGAGCCUGAAUUUCCAUUCCCUUCCGGACCAGGUUCAUUCUCACUGCUCCUCGCUUCCCUCCUGCUUGCUUGCAUGCUUGCAUGCUUCUUUCCCUUCUUCCCAUGUGGGCACUCACUCUCUCUCUCUCUCUCUCUCUCUCUCUCUCUUCUGUUGAGGUUCCAUCUUUCAAGGCCUUCGUGUUCACAUAUUUAAUUUGUAAUGUUGAAUUUUACAUUUAAGAACGAA
rnacentral:lncRNA from 1 species